GAUGAACGCUGGCGGCGUGCCUAAUACAUGCCAGUCGAGCGAACAGACGAGGAGCUUGCUCAUCUGACGUUAGCGGCGGACGGGUGAGUAACACGUGGAUAACCUACCUAUAAGACUGGGAUAACUUCGGGAAACCGGAGCUAAUACCGGAUAAUAUAUUGAACCGCAUGGUUCAAUAGUGAAAGACGGUUUUGCUGUCACUUAUAGAUGGAUCCGCGCCGCAUUAGCUAGUUGGUAAGGUAACGGCUUACCAAGGCAACGAUGCGUAGCCGACCUGAGAGAGUGAUAGGCGACCCUGGAACUGAGACACGGUCCAGGCUCCUACGGGACGCAGCAGUCGGCAAUGUUCGGCAGUGGGCGGAAGCCUGACGCAGCAGCGCCGCGUGAGAGAUGAAGAUCUUCGGAUCGUAAAACUCUGUUAUUAGGGAAGAACAAAUGUGUCCGUAAAUAUGCCCGUCUUGACGGUAACUGAUCAGAAAGCCCCGGCUAACUACGUG
rnacentral:rRNA from 1 species